rnacentral:misc_RNA from 1 species
AACGCACGAGACCUGCGGACCUGCGGAGGGAUCAUUAAAAAAAUAUGGUCAAACCAUUCUCCUGUGAUUUACGUAAUCGUGUAUACUUUGGCAGGCUCGUGUAUAUGCGCACGAAGGUUUGAAGCUGGCCUGUCAGAGGUUUUCAAUAAACACACACGUUUAAAACUACAGUCUGAAAAUCUCUUUCGAGAGAAUAAAAACAAAACAGAAUACAACUUUUAACAACGGAUCUCUAGAUCG